UUGACGGAGCGAAGCGACGUCAAAGCGUAUACAAAGUCGAGUCGGUUUAAGGAUACGUUCGUUGGGUAGGGGAGCGUUCUGUAAGCCUGUGAAGGUGGCCUGUGAGGGUUGCUGGAGGUAUCAGAAGUGCGAAUGCUGACAUAAGUAACGAUAAAGCGGGUGAAAAGCCCGCUCGCCGGAAGACCAAGGGUUCCUGUCCAACGUUAAUCGGGGCAGGGUGAGUCGACCCCUAAGGCGAGGCCGAAAGGCGUAGUCGAUGGGAAACGGGUUAAUAUUCCCGUACUUGGUGUUACUGCGAAGGGGGGACGGAGAAGGCUAUGUUGGCCGGGCGACGGUUGUCCCGGUUUAAGCGUGUAGGUGUGUGUUCCAGGUAAAUCCGGUUCACUUUAACACUGAGGCGUGACGACGAGGCACUACGGUGCUGAAGCAACAAAUGCCCUGCUUCCAGGAAAAGCCUCUAAGCAUCAGGUAACAUCAAAUCGUACCCCAAACCGACACAGGUGGUCAGGUAGAGAAUACCAAGGCGCUUGAGAGAACUCGGGUGAAGGAACUAGGCAAAAUGGUGCCGUAACUUCGGGAGAAGGCACGCUGACACGUAGGUGAAGUGAUUUACUCAUGGAGCUGAAGUCAGUCGAAGAUACCAGCUGGCUGCAACUGUUUAUUAAAAACACAGCACUGUGCAAACACGAAAGUGGACGUAUACGGUGUGACGCCUGCCCGGUGCCGGAAGGUUAAUUGAUGGGGUCAGCGCAAGCGAAGCUCCUGAUCGAAGCCCCGGUAAACGGCGGCCGUAACUAUAACGGUCCUAAGGUAGCGAAAUUCCUUGUCGGGUAAGUUCCGACCUGCACGAAUGGCGUAAUGAUGGCCAGGCUGUCUCCACCCGAGACUCAGUGAAAUUGAACUCGCUGUGAAGAUGCAGUGUACCCGCGGCAAGACGGAAAGACCCCGUGAACCUUUACUAUAGCUUGACACUGAACAUUGAGCCUUGAUGUGUAGGAUAGGUGGGAGGCUUUGAAGUGUGGACGCCAGUCUGCAUGGAGCCGACCUUGAAAUACCACCCUUUAAUGUUU
rnacentral:rRNA from 1 species